ensembl:lncRNA
AUGCCCCAAAUUAUCAGAGUGCAAUUAUCAAAAUGUUUUACAAGAUCUAAAAUUUAUAAGGUAGGGAAAGUAAGUCAGAACGAAAUUGUGCCAGCACAGGUUUUACAAGGCAUAUACUGGAGCCUGUUACAUGCAGUGGGAUAUAGAGGAACAUWGCAUGUUCCUCUCACUGUACUUUCUUCCUGUAGACAACAUUUUCCUGGGGGAAGGAAGAGACUUUUCUAAGAAGCCAAAUUUCCCAGGAAGUUCCAAAGUUCAUGUUAGAAGUUCACACAUUGCCAUUUGAAGCAUUUUAGAAAGUUUAGAUGCUAUAAUUCUUAUUAACACAAAUAUAAAUAUAGAAAACUACAUAUAGCAUAUUCAUACACACAUAUAUACGAGAACAAAUGGGUGCCUUGCUUUUCAUUACUCUUUCUUGCCUGGCUAGUCUUCAUUUUCUAAACAAAGCUACUUAGAGAUACUGCAGUUGUAAUUUUUCAUUAUGGAACAUUAGCAUUUAAUCUUGAUGAAACAGGGUUUUCUUGAUUACAUUUGACAUACCAUAAACCACUUCAACAGAUUGGGAUUUGACAGUGAAUCACCUCCCAUGGAUUAUAUUCGUGACAAAUGUGUCCCUUCCAAGUGUUCCUCAGGGAUAUGGAAGGUCUCCAAUGCUUGGGAAAGGUAAUAAUUCUAGCUUUUAUUGUACAAUGACUGCAUGUUAUCAUGUACAAUGAAAAAGAACUGACAAAUACAGAAGUCUUUGGCAGGAAGUGGUAUAGGGUAUAAAAUGCUAGAUUUUAAUUAUAUUGAUUAGUACUCCAUACGAAACACAGAAUAAGCUUUAGUUGGUAAAUGCUUAAAUAAUAUACUGAAACAGACAAAAGAUGCUGUUGAAAAAAGAUCUCCAAACUGAUGUGCUGGCAAAUGCAAAGUACUAGUGAGCUAUAGAAGAACAAACCAUUUUGCAGUGCUUUGGUGAUUUUCUCCAGCUUUAUGCCAUAGGAGCUCCAUCUUCCCCUUUGAAGGAGAACCAGAAAGCUAUAUCCUUUCCUAGACUGCCUGCACUACAACAGUAUAUUCAAAGGAAUUCCAUAUGCUUCUUGUGUCUGAUAAGUAGAAUUUGCAUAUUGUACUUAAGUUGUAAUCCGGUUGCUGUUGACAUUUGUUUAUUAUUAUUUUAGGGGGGGAAAUAAGCUAUACUGUAGCAUUUCAAUCAUGUGUAUUUAAUAUUACUAUUAGAAAUUGCUAGACCAUUGGAAGGCAGCAAUGACUGUAUUAACAUUGAUUAGCAUGAUGUGGAAACUCUCUCAGCUGUUGGUUUUUGCAGUGUAACAUAAAAAGCAAAAAUGAACCGCUGUGCAGUUUGGCUUAUGUUUGCUUUAAAGUGUGUAAAGUUUUAGUUAUUUUGCAAAACUGUACUGUAUUUGGGAGUAUAUGGUUAUGAAGGUAACACUUGUUUUUCAAAGGACAGAUAUACUUACUCUUGGAUCAUAUGAUGUAUCAUCUUAAUUUGGCUUUUGUUAUGCAGAAAGUUAACACCAGCUAUUAAAAUAUAUUUUAGUAGAAAUGCUUUAAUUCCUGUUUCUUCCUCUACACUGUGAAUCUUUAAGCCUUGGUGGACUAGAGCAACAUCAUGCUGCCCACAGUACUAACCUAUGCAAACUAGUUCACAUUUUAGUUGAUGUCACAGUGGAUGUAACAAAAACAAUUUAUUUUGCAUAACAUUAAAUGUCAUUCAAAUAAAAUAUUAAAUCUAGCACUAUGUAUGUAUUAU